GGGGAGGGGACGCUGGGGCCUCACUGGGAGGUGGGUUGUAGGAGCUGUGAUGGAAACAAUAGUGAACGUUUAAAAUAAAAAAAAACAAACAUCACAGGACACGGUACAUUCCCACUAGCACCCUCUCAGAAGCCCCCAACACACUCAGCCCAUAGUCCCUGCCCCUUCCUGCAGCAGCUCUGGAGUUCUCUUUCCUGAGUGUCUUUUAAUCACACCGUCCUGGCUGCCUCCACGUCCUGAAUGGAUUCAAAACGUUUCCCUGGGCCAGGGAUUUGGCUCAGGGGUUCCACUGCCUGCCUCUCAAGCGUAAGGUCCUGAGUUCGAUCCCCGGUACCAAAAAAAAAAAAAAAACCCAAAAGAAGUUUCCCUGUCGUGGUCUUUGGGGAAGAUCCAGAAAGUCGCACAAAUCGCUUCUCGGCCCAUUUGGCUAAGAUCAAGCGCAGAAAGUCGCACAAUUGCGGGAUCCAACGACGAAGGUGGGGCAGGGACCCAGCGUCACGUUUUUCGUGGGCCGCCUUUCCACUGGGUGGCGCUGUGCAGCAGCGUUAGCCAAAUUUCGAUCCCGCCUGGUAAAGACCCUCAGGAAAUAGGAUGCCCGAGCUGCUGCGGAAAUGGCCGGAAGCGUGGGAUCGGUCUCAUGUCAAACGUCACCUCAUUUUCAUUGCCAAGGAGCCAGAACACGAAUAAAAGCGCUGCCUCCACCUGGAAGACCCCUGUCCCUACUUCAAAGCCCCCAUCUUAAGGCUUCUCCCCAUGCAGCUGGAUUCCCCAGGCAGAGCCCUCUUCAUCAACCUGGGUCCCUCUUUGUGUCCCCCAUGCUGACCCCGGCAGCCGGACAUGUCCAUGUCUAGCUUAAGGCCCUGACUACAGCAAGUACUCAAUAAAAGUUGACAGCGUGGGCAGGCGGACUGACAUCUAGCCCGUUCCACUGUGAAUCCCUAAGGAAACUCAGUCUCAGCUAGCCGCUUACACACACACCACGCGCACGUAUGCACACGCACGCACAAGCACACACACACACACACACACACACACGACGAGCGCGCCUGCUGGUACACAGCUGGGGCUUCAUAAAUGCUCUCUGCCCAACCAGACCACAGAAAACGAUGUCAUAGGCAGGAGGCUCCAGGGCCUCCUGGAGGCAGCUGGGGAAACUGAGGCACAG
rnacentral:lncRNA from 1 species